rnacentral:rRNA from 1 species
AAAUUGAAGAGUUUGAUCAUGGCUCAGAUUGAACGCUGGCGGCAGGCCUAACACAUGCAAGUCGAGCGGAAACGACACUAACAAUCCUUCGGGUGCGUUAAUGGGCGUCGAGCGGCGGACGGGUGAGUAAUGCCUAGGAAAUUGCCUUGAUGUGGGGGAUAACCAUUGGAAACGAUGGCUAAUACCGCAUAAUGCCUACGGGCCAAAGAGGGGGACCUUCGGGCCUCUCGCGUCAAGAUAUGCCUAGGUGGGAUUAGCUAGUUGGUGAGGUAAUGGCUCACCAAGGCGACGAUCCCUAGCUGGUCUGAGAGGAUGAUCAGCCACACUGGAACUGAGACACGGUCCAGACUCCUACGGGAGGCAGCAGUGGGGAAUAUUGCACAAUGGGCGAAAGCCUGAUGCAGCCAUGCCGCGUGUAUGAAGAAGGCCUUCGGGUUGUAAAGUACUUUCAGUUGUGAGGAAGGGUGUGUAGUUAAUAGCUGCACAUCUUGACGUUAGCAACAGAAGAAGCACCGGCUAACUCCGUGCCAGCAGCCGCGGUAAUACGGAGGGUGCGAGCGUUAAUCGGAAUUACUGGGCGUAAAGCGCAUGCAGGUGGUUCAUUAAGUCAGAUGUGAAAGCCCGGGGCUCAACCUCGGAACUGCAUUUGAAACUGGUGAACUAGAGUGCUGUAGAGGGGGGUAGAAUUUCACGUGUAGCGGUGAAAUGCGUAGAGAUCUGAAGGAAUACCAGUGGCGAAGGCGGCCCCCUGGACAGACACUGACACUCAGAUGCGAAAGCGUGGGGAGCAAACACGAUUAGAUACCCUGGUAGUCCACGCCGUAA